CUUGAACCCUAUAAGAGGUCCAGCCUGCCCAGUGAAACAAUUCAACGGCCGCGGUAUCCUAACCGUGCGAAGGUAGCGUAAUCACUUGUUCUCUAAAUCAGGACUAGUAUGAACGGCAUCACGAGGGUUAUACUGUCUCCUUUUUCCAAUUAGUGAAUUUAAUUUUCCCGUGAAGAAGCGGGAAUAAGCCUAUAAGACGAGAAGACCCUAUGGAGCUUUAAACAAUCUAGCAUCUGCCUAUAUUCUUCAUGUUUCAGAACUCUCUAGACCUUCUACAUAAUGACUAGAAGUUUUAGGUUGGGGUGACCGCGGAGUAAAACCCAUCCUCCAUAAUGAAAGAAUUUUAAUUCUUAACCAAGAAAUACCUAUCUAAGUAUUAACACACUGACAUUUAUUGACCCAAUACAAUUGAUCAACGAAC
rnacentral:rRNA from 1 species